rnacentral:rRNA from 1 species
UGAAAGCCUGGGGUGCCCCGCGAGGGGAGCCCUAGCACAGGUGCUGCAUGGCCGUCGUCAGCUCGUGCCGUGAGGUGUUCGGGUUAAGUCCCGCAACGAGCGCAACCCCGCCGUUAGUUGCCAGCGGUUCGGCCGGGCACUCUAACGGGGACUGCCCGCGAAAAGCGGGAGGAAGAGGGGACGACGUCUGGUCAGCAUGGCCCUUACGGCCUGGGCGACACACGUGCUACAAUGCCCACUACAAAGCGAUGCCACCCGGCAACGGGAGCUAAUCGCAAAAAGGUGGGCCCAGUUCGGAUUGGGGUCUGCAACCCGACCCCAUGAAGCCGGAAUCGCUAGUAAUCGCGGAUCAGCCAUGCCGCGGUGAAUACGUUCCCGGGCCUU